rnacentral:rRNA from 1 species
AGCGAACGCUGGCGGCAGGCCUAACACAUGCAAGUCGAACGAACCUUUCGGGGUUAGUGGCGGACGGGUGAGUAACACGUGGGAACGUGCCUUUAGGUUCGGAAUAACUCAGGGAAACUUGUGCUAAUACCGAAUGUGCCCUUCGGGGGAAAGAUUAAUCGCCUUUAGAGCGGCCCGCGUCUGAUUAGCUAGUUGGUUGAGGUAAUGGCUCACUAAGGCGACGAUCAGUAGCUGGUCUGAGAGGAUGAUAAGCCACAUUGGGACUGAGACACGGCCCAAACUCCUACGGGAGGCAGCAGUGGGGAAUCUUGCGCAAUGGGCGAAAGCCUGACGCAGCCAUGCCGCGUGAAUGAUGAAGGUCUUAGGAUUGUAAAAUUCUUUCACCGGGGACGAUAAUGACGGUACCCGGAGAAGAAGCCCCGGCUAACUUCGUG